CCUCCUGAGCUACGUUGAUCUGGCUCAUGUUUCCAGAGGGCAACUGGAAGCUCUGAAAGAGGAAUCAUCUAGGACAUUCCUUGUCCUUCUUCCUUUGACAAUGUCUCCUGCAUAGUACUAGCUGUUAAGAAGGGCCUCACAUGCACCUCGCUGGCCCUCAAAGUUGCAGUAGUCCAUUCUCGUCAACCUAGGAUUACAGGAAUCCCUAGGAAAAAGCAAAUACCUCGCUUGGUGGGGGUGGAGGGGGGAGAUCGCGGACUCGCCGCCUGCAGCCUCUUUCCAAACUCCGCCCAAGAGUAGGAGCGCGGCUCCGCCGCUAGGGGACGCAGACGGACCACCGGCGCGCCUAGGGGGCGGGACCCGCCGUGGCUUCCGGCUUCCGGCCGAGAGGGUGGGACCCCGCGGCCGUCAUGGCAGCUGAAGAGAAGGACCCGUUGAGCUACUUCGCGGCUUACGGGAGCAGCAGCUCCGACUCGUCGGACGAGGAGGACAGCGAGCCGGAAGACGCGGGUCGCAAGCAGGCGGCCCCGGCGCCGACGGCGGGCGGCCGCGGGAAGCCGGCGGAGAAGCGGCUGCCGGGCCCGGACGAGCUGUUCCGCAGCGUGACCCGCCCGGCCUUCCUCUACAACCCGCUCAACAAGCAGAUCGACUGGGAGCGGCACGUGGUGAAGGCGCCCGAGGAGCUUCUCCCCGAGACCCCUUCCCUUUGACGCCGAAGUGCCUGCGCUGCUGCCUCCAAGACAGUGUCUCUGCUGCAGCCUCCUGGAAGGGGUCAGCCUGGCCGUAGUGUCUGAGACUGGAUUCUUCUUUGCCUCCAAAGGAAUUCAAAAUCUGGAAGUCCAAUUGUGUCCCACCCCCAGAGACGUACGCUACUGAGAAGAAGCCGCCGCCGCCAGAGCUGGACAUGGCGAUAAAAUGGUCGAACAUCUACGAAGACAAUGGAGACGAUGCCCCACAGAAUGCUAAGAAAGCCAGGCUUCUGCCUGAAGGGGAGGAGACCGUGGACUCAGAUGAUGACAAAGAUGAGCGUGCAUCUAAGAUUCGAAAAGUGGAGCCAGGAGAAGCAGCCAAGAAGAAGAAGUAGAGAGUGGUGUCCUGAGAUGUGUCCUUGGGCAGAGUGUUUGCUUUUGUGUGUCACUAUGACAGACAUCCCAUGAACAAGUUUAUGUUAACGAACUAACGAGCGUCGACUCAAGACUUUCCACUGUAGAACUCACUUUUUUAUUUAAAACCUGUAUGUAUUUACAACUCUAGUGGUGACCUGUGAUUGUGAACUGGCAGUACUUGGAAGCAUUCUGGCUAUCACAAAAUUGGUGACAGGCUUUGAGAGUUUGUCACAUGGACAUGCCAAUGUUCUAUGAACCUUUUAUAAAGGAAUAUAUUUUUAAAGUAAAUAUAUUGUAUUGUACUGUGAACUUGUGGGUGCUUUUCAUUAGUAUCUGUACAGUGUAAAUAGAUGAUCAUGGAAAUAAAAUUACUUAAUUCAACAUUGUUAUUACUGAAUGCCACUAAGAUAAGUAUGUGUGACAGGCAGCCUGCUUGCCCUGUGACAUUUUGAUUCACAGUGGGGAUUAGCAUGUAGGGAGCCUCCCACGUUCAGGUGCCUUGUGCAUACUUCUCUCCAGCAGUCCUGUGAAGAAAGUGACAUGAGAAUCCUCGGGUUUGUGCAGAGUUCUUGAGGAACUGGGCUGAGGGACACACAGCAGUGAGUGAAGAUGAGCAGUCACACACACAGGACUGACUCCAGUCAGGUGAAACCACCUGUUACUCACAGACUUCAGUCAUCUUCCAAGAACAUUAUCUUCUCUCCCAUGUGCACUUGGGCUAGGGGAGAUCUCAUACCCUGAUUAUGUAGUUGCACUUAUAUAUGCCUUAUAGUAUGCAUAUUCAUUUCUUCAUUAAAUAUACCGAACAUGAAGCUCUUCUAUGAAAGAUGACCAGAUUCAGUAAAGAGCAUAAGGUAUCCAAUUAAAUUUGAGUCUGUUUGAGUAUAUGUAAUAUAAGACACAUUAAAAACCAUCUGAAAUUCCAA